rnacentral:tRNA from 2 species
GUUAGAGUGGCAGAGCCCGGCAAAUGCAAAAGACCUAAGCCCUUUCCAUAGAGGUUCAAAUCCUCUCCCUAACU